rnacentral:rRNA from 1 species
UACAGAGGGUGCGAGCGUUAAUCGGAAUUACUGGGCGUAAAGCGUGCGUAGACGGUUAUUUAAGUCAGAUGUGAAAGCCCCGGGCUCAACCUGGGAAUUGCAUUUGAGACUGAAUAGCUAGGGUGCGGUAGAGGGAAGCGGAAUUUCCGGUGUAGCGGUGAAAUGCGUAGAUAUCGGAAGGAACAUCAGUGGCGAAAGCGGCUUCCUGGACCAGCACCGACGUUCAGGCACGAAAGCCAGGGGAGCAAACGGG